AGAGUUUGAUUAUGGCUCAGGAUGAACGCUGGCGGCGUGCUUAACACAUGCAAGUCGAACGGAGUAUAUUAAAGCUUGCUUUGUUAUACUUAGUGGCGGACGGGUGAGUAACACGUGGGUAACCUGCCCUGUACUGGGGGAUAACAGCUGGAAACGGCUGUUAAUACCGCAUAUGCGCACGGAGCCGCAUGGCCCUGGGCGGAAAGAUUCAUCGGUACAGGAUGGGCCCGCGCCGGAUUAACUUGUUGGCGGGGUAACGGCCCACCAAGGUGAUGAUCCGUAGCCGACCUGAGAGGGUGACCGGCCACAUUGGGACUGAGACACGGCCCAAACUCCUACGGGAGGCAGCAGUGGGGGAUAUUGCACAAUGGGGGAAACCCUGAUGCCAGCGACGCCGCGUGAAGGAUGACGUAUUUCGGUAUGUAAACUUCUAUCAGCGGGGAAGAAGAUGACGGUACCCGCACAAGAAGCCCCGGCUAACUACGUGCCAGCAGCGGC
rnacentral:rRNA from 1 species